UACGUAGGGUGCGAGCGUUGUCCGGAAUUAUUGGGCGUAAAGAGCUUGUAGGCGGUCUGUCGCGUCUGCUGUGAAAAUCCGGGGCUCAACCCUCGAAUGCCGGUGGAUACUGUCGGGCUAGAGUGCGGAAGAGGCGAGUGGAAUUCCGGGUGUAGUGGUGAAAUGCGUAGAGAUCCGGAGGAACCCCAGAGGCGAAGGCGGCGCUCUGGCUCGCAACUGACGCUCAGACACGACAGCAUGGGGAGCGAACGGG
rnacentral:rRNA from 1 species